AGCAGAGUGGCGCAGCGGAAGCGUGCUGGGCCCAUAACCCAGAGGUCGGUGGAUCAAAGCCACCCUCUGCUA
rnacentral:tRNA from 2 species